rnacentral:rRNA from 1 species
CCCUUAGAUGUCCUGGGCCGCACGCGCGUUACACUGAUGCAUUCAACGAGCUUAUAACCUUGGCCGAGAGGCCUGGGCAAUCUUGUUAACGUGCAUCGUGAUAGGGAUAGAUUAUUGAAAUUAUUAAUCUUGAACGAGGAAUUCCUAGUAAACGCAGAUCAUCAAUCUGCAUUGAUUACGUCCCUGCCCUUUGUACACACCGCCCGUCGCACCUACCGAUUGUAUGGUCCGGUGAAGCCUCGGGAUUGUGGUUCUUGCCGCUUUAUUGUGGCGUGACCGCGAGAACUUGUCUAAACCUUAUCAUCUAGAGGAAGGUGAAGUCGUAACA